UCUGGUAGCAAUGAUGAAUGUUCUGGCAUCUUGGGAAAGCAUCUGGCACUGAUGAGGACAAAAUUACUAAUAGACAAGUUUGCUGCUGCUGCUUCCAGCCAAGCAGACCCCAUAGUUGUGCACUUAACAGUGCAUCGUAGGGCUCCUGCUCCUUGCGGUGAUGUGUUAUGCUGGCCGGACUUUCCAACAAAUGCCAGACAAAUCAGCGGUCUGGCUGGAGUCCUCCACCGGGAAAAAUUCGCAAACCCUGGCAACAACAAAGGUGAUGAGAUGAGAUUCAGUCCAGACCCAUGACAUGCUAUUAGAUCUUCCUAAUCACCAGAGAGCAAAUCCUUACUCUGUGUACUGGACACUGUGCUAAGAACUUAAUAGACAGGGGGGCUGGGUGUGGUGGCUCACACCUGUAAUCCCAGCACUUUGGGAGGCUGAGGCAUAAGGAUCGCUUUAGCCCAGGUGUUGGAGACCAGCCCGGGCAAAAGAGUGAGACCUCGUCUCAAAAAAACCCAAACAACAACAACUAGCUGGUCAUGGUGGUGCACGCCUGAAGUCCCAGCUACCCGGUAGGCUGAGGUGGGAGGAUCACUUGAGCUUGGGAGGUGGAGGCUGCAAUGAGCCAUGACUGUGCCACUGCACUCCAGCCUAGGUGACAGAGCAAGACCCUGCCUCAAAAAAAAAAAAAAAAGAAAAAAGAAAAAGAAAAGAAAAAAUGGACAUGAUCUCACAUAUGUGAAAGAUCCCACUAUCCCCAUUUGACUGAUGAAAAUAUUAAGGUUCAGAGCAGGCAACGGACAUCCCUAACUCAUCUAGAGAUUCAGUGACAGAGUUAGAGUACUCAGGGCUCCAAAUCCCAUCUGACCAUUAACUCAAACCACCUCUGUUUAUCUCCCCCACCCCCCGCCAGUAAACACUCUCUAUUAAACACCUUGUCCACUAAAGCACCAUGCUUUCCACGAGGGACUCCUUCGUGCACAGCCAUCCUCACUCUGCAAGAACUCAUCAAAGUUUCAGUGAAUGAAUGAAUUUGGAGUGGUCAACAAGGGGUGCAUAGUUGCAACUUUAAAAUAUUGCAGGAGAGAAAUGCCACAAAACAAAAUGCACAUGGAAAAAUCACUACCUUAUUUCAAAAUAUUUACAGCUUCACAUUUAAGGCCACCCAAAGCGUGGCGGUCAGUGGUGAGAAGGCAGAGAUCACAGGCUGCUGGGGUGGGGCAUACACCAUGAUUCCCGGCCCCACUCUGGGAGACACAAGGUAUCCCACAGUCUUCUCUCCCAGUUACAUCCUCCGCGGAAACCACAGGAUGACUCGCUCAACUUUUUUUAAAGUAGAAAAAAUAUGCUUGUGUGUGUGUAAGGGGAGGAGAGGGGAUGUGAAUGAGAUGGAGGGUACUGUAAUAAUUCCUGUAGUCAUAAGACACGCCAGUUGGUAGUUGCUAGUAUUCCAGACACUUCCUAACGCCAGACAAAUGCCCCCAAGUCUCGGCGUGUCUGGCUUAGAGAUCUAUUCAACUGAUAGCAGCCGCCUCUUCUGGGGAGAGCAGAUCUUUCAGAAAGCACUGGCUACGCUGCUAAUCAAACGCAACAUUGUUCUCAGCAAGGAGGAAGAAUGGAAAGGUUUGUUUCAGAGUCACAACUUUAUUUUUUUUUUAAAGGCACCCAAGUUGUUUUAACAAGUUGCUACAAAACUUGGGCUUCCUGAGUGGAGGCUGUUUUGCACAGUGCAUGUACUGUACAAAAAUCCACGCAGGGAGGGAUCAGAAAGUUAGUCAUUAAAGAAAAAAAAAAAAAGCCCCAGGCACUUGAGGCCUGGAAAUGAUGUCAGACGCAGCCACUCCUCUGUUAGAACUACAACCAAACAAUGCGCAGGCAAUCCGCAGCAGCUGCCCCUGCAAAUGUCAGCGCCAGCCCAGUCAAAAGAGCUAGAAACCUACCAAGCCGGAGGACUGUGCUGUGCCUCUCUCGCCCACAUUUUCCCCAAACACUCUCAGGAACCUGGCAACAGGUAACGUGGCAACCUUUGACUUAUAAAAGGGCAAGUGGCACAAUCUCAGGGAACAAAUGGACUUUUUUUUAAAGCCAGCAUCUCCCCCACCACUCCCACACCCCACUCCCUCCCUCCCAACCAAAAGUAUGUAAAAAACAAAACAUUGACGCGGGCAGUCCUACUCUCGAGUGUCCCCUUGUGGCCAAGCCUGGAACAUCACAUCCGUACAUUGCAAUCUGUGGAUCAGCUACGAGGUAAGUCGCUCUUUGGAAGGGGUGGAGGUCUUUGCUGGACUUGUCUUCCGAAAAGCAUAAAGAGUGAAAGUCAAGGCUCAGAAUGGCGUGCUUUUUUACCUUAUCACCUUAACAAAAACUUCACCUUAGCUGCAGGGUUAAACCUCUGGGUUGGGGCUGGGGAUUUUCGUUGUUGUUGUUUUAAAGCAGCAGCCAAGGCCAUGUUUUUUAAGGUGGUGAGUUAAACGGAGCAAGAACUGCGGUAGCCUUUUCCACCCAAUCUCUUUCUUCACAUCCUAGUCACAACCAAGGGUAGGGUGGAUGGCAGUGAGGAUAAACAGCCCAGAAACUGAGGAUUCCUGCAGGGAGGGACUGGCAUUUUCCAUUUUUAUCUGAAGUUGUACUUUGAAUGCAGACACAUUUCUCUCAGGCCAGAAGCACUGCUCAUUUGUAUUGCUGGCUUCCAGUUAGCCUAUUUGCGAGGAUUACUUAGGAUUUCCAGACUGCAGGCCCAGCUACCCAGAGAGUGUGCCUGAAAGCCCCACCUUACCGCUUUUAUCUCUAUGUGGGGGGAAACACCCACGAAAAUGCCAACAGCAGUAUUUGUAACCUGCCUUCUUCCUUUUGGGAAUUGCUUUGUGCGGCUCUCUCUGCUUUAGAGGAAUAACUACAGCUGAGAGCGCUCUAGCCAUGCAGGAGGAGAGGGCACCCUUUGAGGAGAGGGCACCCGUUCUGUCUCCCUCUGGCUAUGUUAACUGGAAACUAGGAAAGGGGUUCAGAUCAAAGUAACUGCUCUCUUCAGAAAGUUCCAUUCAUUAACUAAAUUAGCGGAAAUUAAAUGGUGUUUGGAGGAAGGUCAUUUCAGAAGGCCCAGGGCCAGAGGCUGAGGUCUAAAACUUCUAAUCUGGACUUCUAUUGAAGUUUGGCAGUAAGUUAAACAGGAAGUUGAAGGCUACCAUAUGUAAAUCCAGUUGUUGCCUGAAAUCAGUCAUUUCAAGGGAAUAUCUUGAAAGGACACAGACUGGGAAACAGGCAUGUGAAAAAAAAAAAAAAGUAGACAUUUGGCUAGUAUGUGCCUAGACCACUUAACACUAAAGAUUAGAAACCUAGGGCUCUGAGUAAGAAUCAUUUGACCAGUAGCUAAGUUGAGUCAUAGCCUGCACAGAACUAGGGCACACAUGUUGAAGUCAGGAUGUUGAGAACAUCAGGCUUACUAAUUUGCAAGGCAGGAGUGUUGCUUCCAGUAGGGAAUGUGAUCAGGAUUUCACGGCUCAUUUUCCCAGCCUUUCCAACAGGUGCAAUCAAGUCAUCCAUGUACACAAGUGACUGCCCUGGCAGUUACAUCUGUUAGGAUUAAAUUUCCAUUUGUUCCAUUACUUUGUAUGAAGUGAUUUCUACUGUUGAGUCAGACAGAUCACUUCCUCUUAGACCUAGGGACUUUUUGCAACAUUUUUAACAAUGUGUGUGUUUUUCAAAAUGUGUCCCAGCCAGGUCUGCAGGUCUUCCUGGGUUGAAUGGACUGUUUAUAGAAGGGGAAGAUUCAGGGCCCAAGGUCAGGGUUACAGAAUUAUAUAAGGUUUCCUGUUUGGGCAGCUGGUCUAGCAACACCUCAAUUUGGGGCAGACUGGGUCUUGUUGAGAGAUAGCAUGCCCAGGAGGCUAGGGCGGGGAGAGUGCCAGGAGCAGGGAAGGACAUUUUUCUUUUCUUUUUUUUUUUUUUUUUAAGACCGUGUCUUACUGUGUCACCCAGGCUGGGGUGCAGUGGUGCGAUCUCGGCUCACUGCAACCUCCGCCUCCCAGGUUCAAACAAUUCUCCUGCCUCAGCCUCUAGUGUAGCUGGGAUUACAGGCACCCGCCACCAUGCUCAGCUAAUUUUUAUAUUUUUAAUAGAGACGGGGUUUCACCAUGUGGGCCAGGCUGAUCUUGAACUCCUGACCUUAGAUGAUCUGUCCGCCUCGGCCUCCCAAAGUGCUGGGAUUACAGGCUUGAGCCGCCAAGCCCGGCCUGACAUUUUUCUUUUAAAUCUUUCAUCAACCAGCUUUCAUUUCUUGUCAGAUGUCACUUUUCAGCAACCUGUUCCUAUAUUCUCUGUUAGGAGAACUUUUUUUUUUUUUUUUUUUGCCAGACUGAGAGAAAGGAAUUAAAGGGUGGAAGAAUUACAAGAUCAGGCACUGUUGUCUGUCUGAUCCACGGAUGUAACCACAGCACACGCGUGGCUCACAGUACUAGUGUGAUAAAUGCUUGUUACACGAAAGCAUGAACAGGGAUGAGAAGAGACUUGCUGUAGAAACAAAAAGGACUAACAAUCAGGAAAGGGAGGUGAUUGGGGCACGAGUAAAGUGAACACCUCAGCAAAGCCAUUCGCUGUGAUCUCUGAUGGUGCAGUGUCAUAUCCUGUCACCAGAGCCCCCUCGUGUUUGAUGUUGGCCAAUCCCGCCAACAUGAUCUAGCAGGCCAAAUCCUAAUCUACCGUUGUCUGACACCAGCUGGUCCCCUGGGUUGUCCACCUGAUGUCCCCCAUUCUCCCCACUUCGCCUACCCCACAGGCCCUCAGCAAAGGACCGUGGGAGGCACCUGUGACACUGCCCUUUUCCUGUGCAGCUGUUUGUCUUCUUCAUUCUUUUCACUCCUCGUUACUCUUUUUUUUUUCAUGCUCAGCCCACACAGAACUAGGAACUUUGUUAUUCUACUUAUUUUUCUGUAUUCCGCUUGCACACAGAUGGAUAUCUGAGAGCCAGCGAACUUUCUUUAUCUCCUAAUAUCAUUUCAUGAGAAUUAGUAGCACCUGCACAAUGGGGCCUUGGAGACAGGAAUAAAAGGAAAAAUCUGGAAUGGAAUCACAUGAUGCAACAGGCUAUGAAGUCUCCCUGCCCGGCUGCUGUAUGUCUGAUAAACAGAAUAAAUAGCACUUGAGCAUCCCUGACCCUGAGACUGCGGAGUAGCUGGUUGUUGCUAGAUGGGACCAGGGUAUCGUGCACUUAUUGCCAAUUCAUCUUGCUUCAGUAAAUGGGGUGGCUGUGCUGAGUGAGUGGCCUGUGUAUGAACCAGGGUCCAUCCCAUCUAAUGAGAGCCCGGUCAGGCUGAGUCCUCACCAAGACUUGAGCGUGGAUUCAUCAGUAACCUUGGUUCACCGGCAGGCUCGCUGGACUUUGGAGAAAAGGCUGACCCUCCACCAAAGCAGCCCACUGCUUCCACCGCUCUAGGAACAGAGGGCCUGGAGCCAGGGCUUGACCUGGCACAGGAGCUUUUUCACAAGGCCUGCUCAAACCUCCAAACCUGGGAAAACAGGAUGCAUGGUGAAGAAGAAAGAAAAUGCAUCCACCAUUCCUUCCUGUUGGUGUCAGCACGAUGAGGAAUAAUUACCUGGAUCUGGAAAGCAGGCGUGUGGGAGACUGCAGGCCCCCCUGGUCUGUGUAGUUAGGCACUUAAUUUUUCAUCCUCCUCCUUUUCUCUGCCCUCCCGAAACCCCCAUUUUCAAAGGAAAAACAGAAAAACGUAUCUGGGUUAACCUGUGUAAUACUGUUUACAUCAGUCCACUUGGCCCAGAAAGGAUACCAGCUCCUUACUGAUGCUCAGAUAACAGGGUUAGUGCUUAAAAAAAUUAUGCCUUGGGCCGGGCGCGGUGACUCACGCCUAUAAUCCCAGCACUUUGGGAGACCGAGGUGGGCGGAUCACAAGGUCAAGAGAUCAAGACCAUCCUGGCCAACCAACAUAGUGAACCCGUCUCUACUAAAAAUACAAAAGUUAGCUGGGUAUAGUGGCGCACGCUUGUAGUCCCAGCUGCUCGGGAGGCUGAGGCAGGAGAGUCGUUUGGGCCUGGCAGGUGGAGGUUGCAGUGAGCUGAGAUUGCGCCACACUGCACUCCAGCCCAGGCAGUGGAGUGAGUCUCCAUCUCAAAAAAAAAAAAAAAUUCUGCCUCGUUUAUUAUCCAACUUUGUCACUGAUAGAGAAGGACACAGAUCCAGAGAAGAACUUGUCCAGGCAACCCCAGGGCUCUUUCCCCGUCCAUUACUUUUUUUUUUUUUUUUUGAGCCCGAGUCUGGCUCUGUCACCCAGGCUGGAGUACAGUGUCACAAUCUUGGCUCACUGCAUCCUCUGCCUCCUGGGUUCAAGCUAUUCUCCUGACUCAGCCUCCCUAGUAGCUGGGAUUACACGUGCGUGCCACCCUGCCCAGCUAAUUUUUGUAUUUUUAGUAGAGAUGAGGUUUUAACUUGUUAGCCAGGCCAGUCUUUUUUUUUUUUUUUUUUUUUUGAGACGGAGUCUCGCUCCGUCGCCCAGGCUGGAGUGCAGUGGCGCAAUCUCGGCUCACUGCAAGCUCCCCCUCCCGGGUUCACGCCAUUCUCCUGCCUCAGCCUCUCCGAGUAGCUGGGACUACAGGCGCCCGCCACCACGCCCGGCUAAUUUUUUCUAUUUUUUAGUAGAGACGGGGUUUCACCAUGGUCUCGAUCUCCUGACCUCAUGAUCCGCCCGCCUCGGCCUCCCAAAGUGCUGGGAUUACAAGCGUGAGCCACCGCGCCCGGCCAAGCCAGGCCAGUCUUGAACUCCUGACGUCAAGCGAUCUGCCUGCCUUGGCCUCCCAAAGUGCUGGGAUUAUGGGCGUGAGCCACCGUGCCCGGUCCCCUCCAUUACUCCUUAAGUGUCCCUUAAAGACUGUAUUUAUUUAUUUGAAACAGAGCUUUGCUCUGUCACCCAGGCUGCUGUGCAGUGGCGUGAUCUUGGCUCACUGCAAGCUUCUGCCUCAGCCUCCUGAGUACCUGAGACUACAGGUGGACGCCACCACACCCAGCUAACGUUUGUCUUUUUGGUAGAGAUGGGGUUUCACCAUGUUGGCCAGGCUGGUCUCGAACUCCUGAUCUCAAGUGAUCUGCCCGCUUCAGCCUCCCAAAGUGCUGGGAUUACAGGCGUGAGCCACUGUGCCCAGCAAAGACUGCAUUUAAAAUACUACCUUUCUGUUAGGUACUUGUCAUUUGCCAAAAUUAAAUAAAAACAAUCUAGGAACCUAGGAACUUGUGAAGUCAGUACUAAAAUCUAUACCAAUUUACUCUACAAAUCCCCAUCCUCCUCCUCGUUGGCUGAGUGUUUAAUAAAGCCAGGUACUUUACCUAUAGGCUCAUCAAAUUAAAAACAACCCUGCAUAGGAAGUCAGGAUCUUGCAGAUGAAAAGGAGGCUCAUCUGGGCAUGCCCAGCAAGGUCUGGGGAACGCCCCUUAAUGCAGUACUUGAAUUUGUCUGCAGGGAGAGGUGGCAUCCCCGCACUGUAAAUAGUUUCCAAGGUCAAGUUUGGCUAGUGGCUUUUAGAAUUGUGGCAGAAGGAUGCCAUCCUACUGCCACCUGCAGAGGCAUCUCAGGUUCUGGAGCUCUGUGCUAACUAAGCCCACCUGUGAAGGGUGGCAAUGGAGUGGUGACAGGUGUGCAAGGAAAAGACAGCUCCAAGGACAGAGUUGUUUGUUUUGUUUUUUGAGACAGAGUCUCACUCUUGUCAGGCUAGAGUGUAGUGGCGUGAUCUCGGCUCACUGCAACCUCCACCUCCUGGGUUCAAGCGAUUCCCCUGCCUCAGCCUCCCGAGUAGCUGGGACUACAGGAGGGCACCACCACGCCCGGCUAAUUUUGGUAUUUUUAGUAGAGAUGUAGUUUCACCAUGUGGGCCAGGAUGGUCUCCAUCUCUUGACCUUGUGAUCCGCCCACCUUGGCCUCCCAAAAUGUUGGGAUUACAGGCAUGAGCCACCACUCCCAGCCAAUUUUUUUUUUUUUUUUUUAAAGAGACAGGGUCUCGCUCUGUUGCCCGGGCUGGAGUGCAGUGGUGUGAUCAUGGCUCACUACAUCUUCUAACUCCUGGGCUCAAGCGAUCCUCCCACUUUAGCCUCCAGAAUAGCUGGAACCACAAGCGCACACCACCACAUCCAGCUAAUUUUUAAAAAACUGGGCCGGGCGCGGUGGCUCACGCUUGUAAUCCCAGCACUUUGGGAGGCCGAGGCGGGCAGAUCACGAGGGCAGGAGAUCGAGACCACGGUGAAACCCCGUCUCUACUAAAAAUACAAAAAAAAUUAGCCGGGCGUGGUGGCGGGCGCUUGUAGUCCCAGCUACUCGGAGAGGCUGAGGCAGGAGAAUGGCGUGAACCCAGGAGGCGGAGCUUGCAGUGAGCCGAGAUCGCGCCACUGCACUCCAGCCUGGGCGACAGAGCGAGACUCUGUCUCAAAAAAAAAAAAAAAAAAAAAAACUGUUUGUAAAGACAGGGUCUCACUAUGUUGCCCAGGGUCAAGGUCAGAUUUGUUAAUCCUCCUGACAUUGUCUCCUGUUGGAGUUCUGGGUGUUCAUUAGUUCAUCACCAUGCGUGUGAUUCACACGCUGUACUCAGAAACAUUCUUUUUUUUGGUUUUUGGGUUUUUUUUUGAGAUGGAGUUUCCCUCUUGUCGCCCAGGCUGGAGUGCAAUGGCACGCACGAUCUCGGCUCACUGCAACCUCCACCUCCCAGGUUCAAGCAAUUCUCCUGCCUCAGCCUCCCGAGUAGCUAGGAUUACAAGUGUGUGCCACCACUCCCAGCUUAUUUUUGUAUUAGUAGAGACGGGGUUUCACCACGUUGGCCAGGCUGGUCUCGAACUCCUGACCUCAGGUGAUCCACCCGACUCAGCCUCCCAAAGUGCUGGGUUUACAGGUGUGAGCCACUGCGCCCGGCCCAGAAUGGAGUAAUCUGAUGUGGUCUUAUAGAUAAACACUUCACGUUUGCAAGGGUGUGUGUGUGUGUGUGUGUGUGUGUUUUAACUCAUCUUUUCCAUUCUCUUCCCCACCCCUCCUUUCCCAUCUGCUACCCUCAGGCUACAGUUCGACUUCACAGAUAGAAAAAUAAAUAAAACCUACGGCUGGGCAUGGUGGUUCAUGCCUGUAAUCCCAGCACUUUGGGAGGCCGAGGCGGGCCAAUCAUUUGAGGUCGGGAAUUUGAGACCAGCCUGACCAACAUGGUGAAACCCUGUCUCUACCAAAAAUUCAAAUAAAUUAGUCAGUCGUGGUGGCCCACCCCAGUAAUCCCAACUACUUGGAAGGCUGAGGCAGGAGAAUCGAUUGAACCGAGGAAGCGGAGGUUGCAGUGAGCUCAGAUCACGCCACUGCACUCCAGCCUGGGUGACAGAGCGAGACUCCGUCUCAAAAAAAAAAAAAAAAAAAUUAGCUGGGCGUGGUGGCGAGUGCCUGUAAUCCCAGCUACUCAGGAGGCUGAGGCAGGCGAAUCGCUUGAACCGGGGAGGCGGAGAUUGCAGUGAGUGGAGAUCGGGCCCCUGCACUCCAGCCUGGGCUACAGUGCGAGACUCCUUCUCAAAUGAAUGAAUAAAUAAAUAAAUAAAUAAAGCCUACAUUAUUUACCUCGGCCUACUAUAAUUUUGCACUACAGGGUGGCAGCUCCAUGCUAGGUACAAGCCGGGUGCCAUGCUGCUUUGAUGCUGCCCAGGACACUGGCCUAAAAGUGUGUCUGCAAGUGCUCUCUUCAUUCAUUCAAGCUCUGCCUAGUACACACUUUUUGGAAACCAUUUCCCAAAAUGCGUGUUCUUAUACCACAUUUCCCACACACCAGAUAACCAAGACAGUGCACGUAACAUAGUUUGAAUUAAAGAAUAAUCUUGUUUUGGCCGGGCGCGGUGGGUCACGCCUGUAAUCCCAGCACUUUGGGAGGCCGAGGUGGGCAGAUCAUGAGGUCAGGAGAUCGAGACCAUCCUGGCUAACACAGUGAAAUCCCGUCUCUACUAAAAAUACAAAAAAUUAGCCAGGCGUGGUGACGGGCGCCUGUAGUCCCAGCUACGCGGGAGCUGAGGCAGGAGAAUGGCGUGAACCCGGGAGGUGGAGCUUGCAGUGAGCCGAGAUCGCGCCACGGCUCUCCAGCCUGGGCCACAGAGCGAGACUCCAUCCAAAAAAAAAAAGAAGAAACUUGUGUUGGUAGACAAAUAAGUUAAUGAACUGCAGAUAUAAAUAGAUCGAGCACUAGAUAUGUUUAUUAUCUCAAGCACAGCACUGCCUCCCGGUGCGGAUUAUAUUCCAGUUUUCGAAAGGAACCAUAGAAGGUACAAGCAAUACGAUUUUAUUUUGGAGGGAUUUCUAGCAUCAUAGGUCAAAGAUGUUAUUAAGUAUCAACUCUGAAAAAGCAACUAUAAAUACUGCAAAUCGACUAAACCAGAGGACACAAAUAUAUCCUGCGUGUUGUGUGCUGGACUGUGGUUGAGACUUCAUGCUCGUGCUCUGGGCUCAUGGGGGCAGCUGACUGCUCAUAAUUAAGAUUGCUGUUGCCGCUGCCUGUGUUCCAAAGAGAACACAAGAGGACAGAGCUAAGGUGUAGGAAUGUGGAAAAACUUGCAGAAACUAGAGCUAGUCUUCAGAUUGAAAUGAAUUACCAAUAAAGGGCUGGGAAAUGGAUCAAGGGGAGGGAAGCGUUCUGAUGGCCCCUGCUCCGAGGUUCAGCCCAUUUGCAGUUGCUGAUAACCUUGUCAGGUCACCAGAUAAAGGCAAGUCUUGUCACCCUCAGGCACCUGGCUGCGAAGUAAUAAAACAGUUGCCUUAUCAUCUAAAGGUGGAGUUAGUCAAACCUCAGCCCAGGGUAAUUAUAGUAAACUGAAAUUGCCUGUCCUUUACAACAAAAAAAGGGGGAGGGAGAGAGAAAGGAAAAGGGCUUAAGGCAGGAAAUUGUGUUUGUCUUUCUCCUGGGAUUUAAAAAAGAAACGAGCAAAACAGCAAGAAGUUUUCCAGGGAGUGAGAAAAACAGCCCGGCUAGACUCCCCUCACCCUGGGUUAACAGGAUUGCUGACAGAUCAGGCCCACGUGAUGGUCAAGAAAAGAGGCUCAAGCUGAUGAAAAUCCAAGAAAUCUUCUUAGGAGCCUUCCUUUCUAAAUGUAAAUGACUGAGUCAUUGCUUUGCUAAGGAGGGAAGGAAGUUACAAUCACACCAAGUGACUCAUUCAUUGCUGUUAGCUCCGGCAGUUGGAUAAAAAGUUUUAGCAAAAGCAGCAACAAAUGUACUUUAAAUACUAGCACAGUAAGGGAAUUCCUCUCUUUCAGGAUGAAUGCCAUCCACACAAAAGAGCUCCUGUUGACAUCUCAUUUACAAUCUCCCCCAGGACACAGACAAGACCCUUUCAAUAAACCCAGCUCAGAAACACCUAUUGUUCAAAAUCUUCAACUCACCACAGGCUACCACCACUCCCUAUGGCUUUGCAAAAUUAAAGAUUUAGAAGGAUGGGGACGGUGGAAGCUAUGAAAAGAGGCAGGAAAAAAGUCCCUUUGACCCGAUGCUGUCAGAGAGCGUGCAUGAAGAAGAAAGUUAAUGGUAUUUCCAUUUAUAUAAGAAGCGCCUAAGAAAUGCCUGUGACGUUCAUGAACUAGUGAUUGUGAAUUCCAAAUUUGAUGCCAACUUUAUGUGUAAAGAAGCUAACUCCUGCCAACAUCGUGGCUGAAUGAACAGCUGGGGCUAUGCUUAACCCAUUCCCAGCUUACAAAAGCCCCAUGGCAGCUGCAGCGAAGCAUCAGGUGAGUCUGAUAUGCGCUGUCUGUUUCCUCAGGGAUUUGAAGCUUGCCUGUCCUUUCCAAGUGGAAUCUUGUGCCUAAGCGCUAGAGCCCACUCCUCUCCACUGAUUCCCUUCUUUCCAUUUCUGCCAUUUGCCUUCUUCUUUUAAUAAAACUUGGACAUUUUCUGGAGUUAUAUGUUUUUCUUGGGAUGUACUUCAAAUUAAGGAGCAUAUUUAUGUUUACACACACACACACACACACACACACACACACACACAAGAAUCGGGCAUUUCUCAAGUGGUGAUACCUUUACCCUCCUUAUUUUUCACUUACGGUUCCCCAUCUCAGUACACGAUCCCUUUGCCUGCCCCGAGUUCAAGCCAAAACUCAGCAUUAUCUGUAAGCACUCUUUUGGCUCCUUCUCUCCGAUCUCUUAAAUCCCUGUGGAGUCAUUCCACAUCCUUCUGUGCAUCUUUCUGCUUCCCUAGAUCCUACAGUUUUAAUGUUCUCUUCUGGAGUAUCACAGCAACUUCCUUAACUCAAGGUUUCUCCAACUCUGAGUUGUCACUUAAUGGGUAGUGAAAUCAGAUGAGUCAUGCAGUUUCACCAUUUAGAAAAUGCAAAAGGUUAGGUAGAAAAUGUCAGCGUACAUCCUGUGUAGAAAAAGUAAGUCUUGUUGUGAAACUUCUUUCAGUUUGUGUGUGCGUGUCCCCGGAUCUGUGUACAUACUGGGCAACAGGGAAAAUGCAUUUUGUAGGUCAAAAUAUUUGGAGAAAUACUUUUCUACUUAGUCUCACUGGGUCUGUUUUUCUCUGUUUCCAAACUAUUGCGUACACUUAGAGGAAGAGUGGAAACUCUCCAGCAGGUCCUGUCAGUCUGCAGUUUACAAAUCUGCCCUCAGGAUAGGAGUUCCUGCUCACCAUUUUCAGGUCUCAGAAUUCUGCCUCCUCCUGACCACUUUUCCUUUAGUUAUUCGACCCAUCAAGUUCCCUAGGUUUGCAUGUGCAAUCGAUUCCUCGUUAGGGAUAUUCUUUCCUCUGGUUUUUCCUUCAGAUAUGAGCUUAUGUUUGACCUCUUCCAAGAAGACAUCAGGAAUGUCCUUCUGAAUGCCUUUCCUAGUUCUCAUGAGAACACAGCAGUUUUUAAUCAGGCAGAGCACUUAUUACAUUAUAAUUAUCUUCUUGGUUCCCAACUGAACUUUUAAGUUCCAAGUGGGCAGUCAGUAAAUAUUUAUUGGUGCAUUAAAUGCUCCACAUUUUACACAGUUCACGUUUGCUUCCUACAAACCAAUUUGGAUAGUUAUUUUAAAGUAUCUUAUCUCUAGUUCUCAAAGCUUUGGUUUCCUUUAACACUUAAAUAUCUCUUGCAUAUUUUCUUUUCAAACACUGCUUGGUUAAUUUGCAAAUUCAUUGGACUCCUUUCCUUAAAAAUCAAAAUAAUAAAACUUCAAGAAAGCUGUUUGACUUCUGGCCAGUUAGUCACCCUCUCUGAAUGUCAGAUCUGUAAACAGGAAGGGCAGAAUUCUGAUCUCUAAAAUCCUCUCCAGUCCACUACUCUGACCCUCUAACUUGAGCUUUCUCCAGAGAGGUUAAGUGACUUUUCCAAGGUCACGCAGCUUUUUAGCGGCAGGAGAUUUUUUGCCUGUCCAUAGAUUUUUUUUUUUUUUUUUUUGAGACGGAGCCUCGCUCUGUCACCCAGGCUGGAGUGCAGUGGCGCGAUCUCGGCUCACCGCAGGCUCCGCCUCCCGGGUUCACGCCAUUCUCCUGCCUCAGCCUCUCCGAGUAGCGGGGACUACACGCGCCCGCCACCACGCCCGGCUAAUUUUUUUGUAUUUUUAGUAGAGACGGGGUUUCACCGUGGUCUCGGUCUCCUGACCUCGUGAUCCGCCCGCCUCGGCCUCCCCAAAAUGCUGGGAUUACAAGCGUGAGCCACCGCGCCCGGCCGCCUGUCUAUAGAUUUUUAAAAGCUAGCAGUAAACAAAACCCAAAAAGUUUACCGCGGAAACGGAGUGCCACGAACAAGUUUGUGUGAAAGAGAAUUCAUGAAGAAAUAGGAGACUUCAAACAAAACACUAAAAUCAACAACCACCAUAAUGGAUUCCUGCCUAGGCAGGUCUGGACAUUAAGAAAAGAAAGGUCUCGCUGUGGUUUGCUAUUAGAUGCAGAGAUAUUCAGAUUUCAUUUUCAAAAUGAAAGUGAAAGAUUAAAGAAUUUUGGCAUCCUGACCCUUUGUAGAGGCCAUUCCUCAGAGGCACAGUGUGCAGACAAAACUAUCCUAGAGGUGCCAACCAAAACAAGCUAAAGUCUGUCUCAUUCCUGAGCCCUGGUGCCUUGACCAGUAACUACGCUCAGGAAGAAAGCUGCAACUCGCCAGAAUGAAAUGUGGCCCCGGUUCUUAUAACCCUUACCCCCUUCCUUCCCCUGCCAGAACCACACUAAAGAAUUCGCUGCUCUCAAAGACAGACUUUUUCAUUACUUCCUUACAUUAUAGAGUUUGGGCUUAGAUAACCAGUUGUAUGAGUAGCAAGUCAGAAAUACAACAGCAGUAAUACUUAUUUCUUUGCUUAAUGUAAUAUGUUGUACUUCAUAAGCCACCAUAUGCAUUUGUUGCUUUUCCCCCUUCUACACUGACAAGCAGUUUUGCUUUGUUUGACAGAAAAGUAUGGUAAGAAGAAACUGAAUUUGAAGUGGAUUCUUACAAAGGAAAAAGAAAAUCACUAUUGUAACUGUAUACCAAAUUACUAUGUAUGUGAGGUCCCAACUUUGACAUCAAGUCAUUACAGCCAGGGGAUGCUGGAACUGUGGCUGCCAUCGGGGGACCACAGAAAGUACUGGCCUAAGAACAGCUCAGCUGGGCGCGGUGGCUCACGCCUGUAAUCCCAGCAUUUUGGGAGGAGGAGGCAGGCAGAUCACCUGCGGUCGGGAGUUCAAGACCAGCCUGAUCAACAUGGAGAAGCCCUGUCUCUACUAAAAACACAAAAUUAGCCGGGUGUGGUGGCGCAUGCCUGUAAUCCCAGCUACUGGGGAGGCUGAGGCAGGAGAAUUGCCUGAAUCCAGGAGGUGGAGGUUACAGUGAGUGGAGAUGGCGCCACUGCACUCCAGUCUGGGCAAUGAGAGUGAAACUCCAUCUCAAAAAAAAAAAAAAAGAUGAGCUCACACUGGGGAUGACGGGUGGAAGAAAGGCCAGCUGUCAUGAACUUGCUGGUUUUGGUAAAUUCAUUGCCUGCCCUACCUUUGGACCUGGUAUUGUUUGAGAAAAUAAAUUAUUUUGCCAUCUUAGUCAUUUUGAUUUUAUUUUUUAAGUUGCAUUUGUUUGCUUAUUGAUUUGAUUGGCUUGGCACUUACGCAGUGACUUUGUAGAUGCUGUCUAUGUGUUGGGGCUCAGAACAUGAUGCCCUAAAAUAUGGUGACUUGGCAAUUGAGAAAACUGAAGGAGCAAGAAGGUCACUCACUGUGAGAGCUGGCCAUGAGGGAAUGCUCUGACCUAUCUUUGUCUGAAAGUAGGUCAUAAGAUGCUCAUUCCAGAGGGGUCUCGCGCUAUACCCAGAGGCAAAGAAGAAGGAACAGACAGCUCUUGCCCUACUGGCCCCCAGUUGUUUGUUACCGUUAGAUAAUAAAUUUAUUCUAUUUGAAAUCUGAAAUACUCCAAAGUCUGAAACUUUUCAUUUUUUUGAGACAGAGUCUUGCUCUGUCACCCAGGCUGGAGUGUAGUGCACAAUCUCGGCUCACUGCAACCUCCACCUCCCAGGUUCAAUGAUUCUCCUGCCUCAGCCUCCCAAGUAGCUGGGAUUACAGGCAUGUGCCACCAUGCCUGGCUAAUUUUUAUACUUUUAGUAGAGACAGGGUUUCACUAUGUUGGCCAUGUUGGUCUCGAACUCCUGAACUCAAGUGAGCCUCAGCCUCCCAAAGUGCUGGGAUUACGGGCAUGAGCUGCUGCACCCGGCCUGAUCUGUAAUACUCACCCCUGCAGUGUCCUCAGCCUCUCCUGCCUCAGCUUCCCAAGUAGCUGGGACUGCAGGUGUGCACCACCACCACCAGCCAAUUUUUAAACAUUUUUUUGUAGAGAUAUGGUCUCACUAUGUUGCCCAGGCUAGUCUCAAAUUCCUGGGCUCAAGUGAUCCUCCCACCUUGGCCUCCCAAAGUACGGGGAUUUGAGGUGUGAUCCACCUCACCCGGGCCUGAGUCUUCCUUUGGAAGGCUGCUGUAUCAUGUGAAACUUAUGUUAAAUAAAUUUGCUUAUUUUUCUGUUAUUAAUCUGUCUUCUGUGAUAGGAGUCUCAGCCAUGAACCGAGCGAUGGGUGUGGAAUAGAUAUUUCUUCCACAAGCUGGAAAAGGCUGUGUCUGCCUGGUGCAAAUCCUGACCUGCCAAUUACAAGCUAAGUGACUUUACACUAUUAAAUCAUCUUUUCCUCAGUUUCCUCAUCUGUUCAGUUAGGGUAACAGCACCUAUCUCAUAGUGUGAUGAGGCGAGUGAAAAAGUUAAUGUAGUGAAAGGGGAUAGAGUGUUCCACUUACCCUGUGACAUAUAGGAAGUAGGUGCUCUUCUUUUUUCUUUCCUUGCUAGAUUAUGUGAUGCAACAAAAUUCAAAUAUGAAAACCAUCUUGGAGGCCGGGCGUGGUGGCUCACGCCUUUAAUCCCAGCACUUUGGGAGGCUGAGGCGGGUGGAUCAUUUGAGGUCAGAAGUUCAAGAACGGCCUGGCCAACAUGGUGAAACCCCGUCUCUACUAAAAAUACAAAAAUUAACUGGGCGUGGUGGUGCAUGCCUGUAAUCCCAGCUACUUGGGAGGCUGAGGCAUGACAAUGGCUUGAGCCUGGGAGGUGGAAGUUGUGGUGGGCCAAGAUCGCCCCACUGUACUCCAGCCUGGGCUACAGAGACACUGUCUCAAAACCGUCUUGGAAACUCCCUGAGGGUUCUUUUUUGAGGGGGAAAGCUCGUACUUCUAAGAUGCUUUGGUUCCUACUGCAUGAAGAGCCCUGCAAUGAGUGUGUGUGAAUGCAGAUGUUGAGAUGCCUUUUCCUAGUGCUUAAUAUUAAAAAUUAAUCUCGGCCGGGCACGAUGCCUCACACCUGUAAUCCCAGCACUUUAGGAGGCUGAGGGGCGGAUCACCUGAGGUCGAGAGUUCGAGACCAGCCUGGCCAACAUGGAGAAACUCCAUCUCUACUAAAAAUACAAAAAAUUAGCCAGGCAUGGUGGCACAUGCCUGUAAUCCCAGCUACUCGGGAGGCUGAGGCAGGAGAAUUGCUUGAACCUGGGAGGCGGAGGUUGCAGUGAGCCGAGAUCACGCCAUUGUUCUCCAGCCUGGGCAACAAGAACAAGACUGUCUCAAAAAUAAAAUAAAAAAUUGUUUAAAAAAAUAAAAAUUCAUCUCAUCACUGUUCUCAAUUCAUAUGUCCUCUCCUUCGAGAGGGCUUUAAAAAAAACUAAAAAUAUUUUACCUCAAAAUAUACUUCUUUGGCAUAUUUUUGAGAUGGCUGUUCAGAAGGCCCACAGCCCUGCCAAGUUGCCAUUUGUGGAGGAGACGUACAUCUGCAGAGAAAAUCUGCAGCAAUGAAAUAAACAGCCAGGCUUUCUCUGAGGCCCUCCGCCUAUCCAGACCUAGGAGAGAUAAACUGAGUCUGACACCUUUGAAAAUCUGAUAGAGAAACACUUAACCACAGACUACCUUCUGUUCUCUCUGAGGACUGCUACCUGUGAGAUUUAACCCACCUGUGCCCUCACCUUCCCUCUCCCCUCCCUGCCAUAACCUAUCUUGCCAUGCUCUGAGUCCCUACUCCUCAGUAACAUCAAGAUGGUAUAAAAGCAUUAACUCAGCCAGGCGCAGUAGCUCACGCCUGUAAUCCUAGCACUUUGGGAGGACAAGGUGGGCAGAUCACUUGAGCCCAGAAGUUCAAGACCAGCCUGGCCUGCAUGGCGAAAUGCUGUCUACUAAAAAUACGAAAAAAAAAAUAGCCAGAUGUGGUGGCACAUGCCUGUAAUCCCAGCUACUUGGGAGGCUGAGGCAGGAGAAUCGCUUGAACCCAGGAGAUGGAGGCUGCAGUGAGCUGAGAUCAUGCCACUGCACUCCAGCCUGGGCGACAGUGAGACUCUGUCCCUCAAAAAAAUAAAAAAAGAUGGUAUAAAAGUAUUAACUGUAUGGUCUUUUUUCUUUUUUUUGGAGUUUUCAUAUGUAUCUUUUUCCUAUGGCAGAAGAGUUUUCAUAAUUUGUAUGACUCAUGCACAUAUGUGCACGUUAGUGAAAUUUGUAUGCCAGCCAGGUGUGGCAUAAGCCUGUAGUCUCAGUUACUCAGAGGCUGAGGCGGGAGGAUUGCUUGAGCCCAGGAGGUUGAGGCUGCUGUAAGCUAUGAUGGCACCACUGCACUCUACCCUGGGCGAUAGAGCAAGACCCUGUCUUUAAAAAAAAAAAAAAGUGUAUACUUUUUUUUCCGGUUAAUUUACUGUUUGUUUUAUAGACUCAAAUUAUCAAGGCUUCAGGGGGAAAAUGUAAACUUCCCUACAGCUCCCUUGAUCACCCAGCUUAGAGCAGCCUCACACCCUCCCAUCCCAGGCCCGCAGCCCCCUAACUGAUUUGAGAUGCCUGGAGAAAAUAAAAUUGCUGCUCCAUCUUUUUAAACUAGAAGUGUUGGGGUGGGGGCAGUGCAAAGUUGCGGCUUGCUCAUUCAACCCCGUCCUGACCAGCUCUAGCACUGCACCCGCCCCAGCCCUUCAGCCUUCCAAUGGCAGCUGUCUCCAGAUUCUCUACAUUUCUAGUUAGCAGCCUUCACUCUCCCCAUGACCAAGACCCCACGAAGUCUUUCCAAAGCCCCUGCUUGUCAUUUCUGUUAACACGUCCCCGCCUCCCACCUCGAAAUUACAUAGCAGGACCGGAUGCAGCCCCUGCUUCCUUGCACCUUGGAAAAUGGCAGAAAUUACCACGCAUUUCUCAGGGCUUGUAGGGUGGACCCCUGCCAGUGGUUUCAAACCUUUUCCAUACCUUCUCGAUCACCCUCCAGUUCAGAAAAGACAAAAAGGAAACCCCAAGGAAAAUCAAAACAAAAAAACCUACAAGUAUGUUUCCCUUUGCCUCCAUAGUCAGCACUGAUGAUUUCCAGCUGGGGUGGACAGCAGGGUGUGGAUGGGACCAAGUCCUGUUGCCAAGUUCAAGUACUUGAGAAUUUAACAUCCCAGACCCUCUCCAAGCUCUGCUACAGGCCCCUCAACUAUAUUUCCCUAGCUUACCAUGGUAACAAGCCAGAGGACUAGCCCUAAGUGUAUCCACUUACAUGACUAAAGCUCUAUCAAAUGAACAAAUAAUUCCCUUUGCUUUUCAUGCCUGAAAGGCAAUAUUCUAUGAUGUUUAAGAAUAUGGCACAGUUCUGUCGUCCCAGCUGCUUGGAAGGCUGAGGUGGGAUGAUUGAUUGAGCCCAGGAGUUUGAGUCCAGCCUGGGCAACAUAGCAAGAUCCGAUCUCAAAAUAUUAAAAAAUAAUGUAAGUUUUGGGGGCAGACCUUGAUUUAAAAGUGUGUUACCUAGGGAAGGUUGCUUAAUCUCUAUAAACAUCUGGUUUUUAUAGUCUAAAAUGAGGGUAAGAAUGAAAAACUUCCUUACAGGGUUGUUGAGAGGCUGAAAGGAAGUAAUGUAUGGGAAAUGUUCAGUGUAUUAACUCAGUAAACGGCAUACAGCAACAACAGCAUCAACAGUUCCAUAAGGGGAAUCCCUUCAUUUUGACCAGGGGACCCGUGGCCCUUGUGAAAGGUCUGAGAACAUCUGAAGCUAACUUCUACACCAACGUGGUCAGAUGAUGCCAUCCCGUAUCCAUGGCAACCAGAUGUCUCUAGUAUCUAGUUUAGUGCCAGGCGGGUGGUGUGCAAUGAAACAACGGAAUCACAGGCUGCAACUCUGCUGUUCAGUUCAUUCGUUAGUGGAACCCCUGUAACACACUCAGAAUUCUGAGUUCAUAGGACCUUUGAAUUACAGUUUCAUAAAAGAAGUUCUGAAACAUUGACCAUCUCAUACACAUUUUUUAGUUAUUCCCAGAUGGUUGUUGAUGUAAAAAUCAACCAAAACCUUUGUGUUAGAUGUAUCUUCAAGUCUAUCACAAUAGGUUAGUCCAUUUCCUUUUUUUUUUUUUUUUUUGAGAUGGAGUUUUUGCUCUUGUCACUCAGCUGGAGUGCAAUGGUGCAAUCUCGGCUCACUGCAACCUCUGCCUCCUGCGUUCAGGCGAUUCUCCUGCCUCAGCUCCUGAGUAGCUGGGAUUACAGGCACCUGCCACCAUGCCCGGCUAAUUUUUUUGUAUUUUUAGUAGAGAUGGGGUUUCACCAUGUUGGUUAGUCUUGAACUCCUGACUUCAGGUGGUCCACCCGCCUCAGCUUCCCAAAGUGCUGGGAUUACAGGCACGAGCCACCACGCCUGGCCUUUUAGUCCAUUUUCUAUUGCUAAUGUAAGAGGAAUUAGAUUAGGAAGUAGGUUUUUGAAGACAAAUUUUCAGCUUACAUGAAUUGUUGGUAGCACCUCACUUCAUAAGUAAUAUUAGAUACAAAACCCUUCUCAGGAAAAAAAGUUAGCAUUCUGGAGAAAGGAGUAAAGGAAACAAUGGUUUAUUGUCUUUUGUUUUGUUUUGUUUGUUUUUCAGAGGGUCUCACUGUUGCCCAGGCUGGAGUGCAGUGGCACAAUCAUGGCUCACUGCAGCUUCGACCUCCUGGGCUCAAGUGAUCCUCCUUGCCUCAGCCUCAUUUGGAGGUGGAGCUAAAGUUGAGAGGCUGCUAACCAGCCCUCGGGAGACUGCAUUUUCCAAAAGUGGCUGCAACAAUAUCUUGCAUCUGACAUGUCGUUCUAGAACAGGUGUUCACAAACUUUUUCUGUUAAAAGCCAUCCAGCAUGUAUUUUAGGAUGUGUGGAUCAUUCACUGUCUGACCUGACUAUCACUGUGGCACAGCCCUGGGCGAUGUGUACGUGUACAGGCUUGUUUGUGUUUGAGAGGUGAGCCCAUUCGGUGGUCUGAGGGUGAUAGUUUGCCAAUCUGUGUUCUAGAACUUUGCUGCUUCCCUUCAAGAGGUAGAGUCUAGGCCAGGUGCAGUGGCUCACACCUAUAAUCCCAGCACUUUGGGAGGCUGAGGUGGGAGGAUCCCUUGAGCCCAGGAGUUUGAGACCAGCCUGGGAAACAUGGUGAAACCCCAUCUCUACAAAAAAAAAAAAAAAAAAAAUUAGCCUGGUGUGGUGGCAUGCACCUGUAGUCCCAGCUACUCCAGAGGCUGAGGUGGGAGGAUCACUUGAGCCCAGAAGGUUGAGGCUGCAGCGAGCCGUGAUUGUGCCACUUAAACCACCCUAGGCGGCAGAGGGAGACCCUGUCUCAAAAAAACAAAAAGAAACAAACAGGAAAAAAAAAAAAAGAGGUGGACUAAUUCCCUUUUCCUUGAAUCCGAGAGGUUUGUGAUUUGCCUAUAAUUAAGACAAUUGGAAGGAAGUGACACUGCAUGACCUCUGAGGCUAGAUCAGAACAGGUGAUGUAACUGUUACCAGUGAGCACAUAAGCAGCCCAGUUGUUCUGAGGCUGCCAUGCUGUAAGGAAGCCCAAGUGAGUCCAUGUGAAAGACCACCUGAAAAGCCUUGAAAGUAUAGGAGAUGCUCAGCCAGCCCCAUUUGCACCAGCCCUCACCUGGAGAGACUGCAAGCUCAGGAGAGAUGCUGAGCCAGAACUACCCCGCCGAAGCUCUCCCCAAAUUCCUGACCCCUACAGACUGAGAAAUGAUGAGAUAGAUGAUUGCUUUAAGACAUUAAGUUUUGGGGGUGAUCUGUUGCAUAGAAAGAAACAGAACAUUUUCCCCAAACUAGUGAGUGGCAGAGAUGGGAUUCAAAUCGAGGCUGGCCUGAGCCCAAUCACCUGAUCUUUCUAUUAAAAAUAAAUAAAAAAUAUUGCUGGCCAGGGGCGGUGGCUUACACCUGUAAUCCCAGCACUCUGGGAGGCCAAGGCAGGCGGAUCACCUGAGGUCAGAAGUUCAAGACUAGCCUGACCAACAUGGUGAAACCCCGUCUCUAGUAAAAAUACAAAAAAUUAGCUGGGCGUGGUGGCGGGUGCCUGUAAUCCCAGCUACUCGGGUGGCUGAGGCAGAAGAAUCGCUGGAACCCGGGAGGUGGAGGUUGCAGUGAGCUGAGAUCCCACCAUUGCACUUCAGCCUGGGAAACACGAGCGAAACUCUGUCUCAAAAAAAAAACUGCUAAGAAAUGCUGACACAGAGACACGAAGUUGCAAAAAUGCUGUUGAUAGACUUGCUCCAUGCAUGGUUGCCACAAACCCUUGAUUUGUGAAAAACACAUCUGCGAGACCUAAUAAAGAAAAGUGCAAUUGCCGGGAGUGGUAGCUCACACCUGUAAUCCCAGCGCUUUGGGAGGCCAAGGCGGGUGGAUCACCUGAGCUCAGGAGAUCGAGACCAGCCUGGGCAAAAUGCUGAAACCCCGUCACUACUAAAAAUACAAAAAAAUUAGCUGGGCAUGGUGGCAGGUGCCUGUAAUCCCAGCUACUCAGGAGAUUGAGGUAGGAGAAUUGUUUGAAACCGGGAGGCAGAGGUUGCAGUGAGCCAAGAUCGCGCCAUUGCCCUCCAGCCUGGGUGACAAAAGUGAAACUCCGUCUCAAAAGAAAGAAAGAAAGAAAGAAAGAAAGAAAGAAAGAAAGAAAAGCGCAAUUAAACAAUAUGUGCCUGUAUUUAAACCUAUAUUGGCUAGUGAGUUUGACCAGAGUCUAACAAAGGUUUAUCAAGGAAAAAUGUCAGAGAAUUCAGAUCCUGUAAGUCAAAGAUACAACCUGUUCCAGGAAGCACUUUGCAACAGCAAUUACUCUAACAAGUUACAAUUCGCAGAGUCCGGGCUUUAAGGGGCUUUGAAGAGAGAGAAACCCAUGAAUCAAUAAUAAGAUAAGGCUAUUUGGUUUGUUUCAACUUGCGGGCUGUUUGACUUCCCUAUCAAAGCCAUGCCUUGAGAAUGAAAUCAUUUCUGUCAAACAGCCCUUUCAAAGAACAUCCGAUACAAACACUCACUGGCUGCUCCUUUAUUUCCACUGUGUCCAGGGUAUGUAUGGACUUGGUGGAAUUUAGGGGAAUAGCUGUGAAUUGUGCAUCAAAUAAAUAACCUGCAGGGAGUUGGCACUGGUGACUGCUAGCCAUAAAUGUUGCUAUUUGCUUACACAGGCUAAGCCUGGGCUUUUGGAGGCUUCUUUGACCUUUUCUGCCUUUUUCCCAACCCUAACCCAACAUAGCUAUGAAAAGGCAGUUCUGGGCCAGGCGGGGUGGCUCACGCCUGUAAUCCCAGCACUUUGGGAGGCCGAGGCGGGCGGAUCACGAGGUCGGGAGUUUGAUACCAGCCUGACCAACAUGGUGAAACCCUGACUCUACUAGAAAUACAAAAAUUAGCCGGGCUUGGUGGUGUGCACCUGUAAUCCCAGCUACUCAGGAGGCUGAGGCAGGAGAAUCGCUUGAACCUGGGAGGCGGAGGUUGCAGUGAGCUGAUAUUGUACCAUUGCACUCCAGCCUAGGUGACAGAGUGAGACUUUGUCUCAAAAAACAGAACAAACAAGCAAAAAACAAACAAACAAACAAAACAGGCAGUUUUGGGUUGUAGGGCACACUUUUUCUUUUUUUUUCUGAGAUGGAGUCUCACUCCAUCACCCAGGCUUGAAUGCAGUGGCACCCGAGUAGCUGGGAUUACAGGCGCCCGCCACCACGCCCAGCUAAUUUUUUGUUUUUGUGUUUUCAGUAGAGACAGAGUUUCACCGUGUUAGCCAGGAUGGUCUUGAUCUCCUGACCUCCUGAUCCGCUCACCUCGGCCUCCCAAAGUGCUAGGAUUACAGGCGUGAGCCACGGCGCCUGGCCCCCAGAGCACACUUUUAAUGUUAACAGCUUGGCCUCCCUCUCCCAGCAUUCAUCCUCAUUGGGCCUAGUCCACCUGUUACACCAGGGAAGAAUUGAGUGAUCUUUCUUAACCUCCCAGGGUCUUAGCCCAAUGUUAUGGCCACUUGUGUCCCCCACCCCCACAACAAAUGCAUAUGUUGAAGUCCUAACUCAGAAUGUAACUGUCUUGAGAGAUAGGGUCUUUAAAGAGAUGAUUAGGCCAGGCAUGGUGGCUCAUGCCUGUAAUCCCAGCACUUUGGGAGGCCAAGACGGGCGGAUCAUGAGGUCAGGAGAUCAAGACUGUCCUGGCUAACACGGUGAAACCCCGUUUCUACUAAAAAUAAAAAAAAAUUAGCCGGGUGAAGUGGCGGGUGCCUGUAGUCCCAGCUCCCAGGAAGCUGAGGCAGGAGAAUGGUGUGAACCCGGGAAGUGGAGCUUGCAGUGAGCCGAGAUCGCGUCACUGCACUCCAGCCUGGGUGACUGAGCGAGACUCCGUCUCAAAAAAAAAAAGAGAUGAUUAAGUUAAUUGGGUCAUUAGGGUCAUAAUCCAAUAUGACUGGCGUCCUUAUAAGAAGAGAGACAGCAGGACCUACGUGCAUAGACCAAGUGAGCCACCUGCAAGCCACAGAGAGAGGCCUCAGAAGAAACUACCUUGCUGAUACCUUGAUCUCGGGCUCCCAGCUUCCAGAACUGUGAGGAAAUAAGCUUCUGUUGUUUAAGGCACCCCAUCUAUGGUGCUUAGUUAUGGCAGCCCUAGCAAACUAACACACCCACAAACAGAGAAUUCACAGCCUUAAGGCUGGGACUUCAGAAAAGUUCCAAAGGCAAUAAGCAGAAAUUUCAACAUGCAAGAGUCUAGCCUUUUAGCACAGUUUCUCUUUCUGCAUCUUUCCCAGGUGGCCUGUAGGCAGGAUCGUAAAGCAGUGCUGGGGGCUGGGCAGGGGCACUGCUGACCUGCAAGUCUAGUGGGGUCACUAAGGUCUCUUGACUCAAAAGGGAAGGGACCAGGGUUCCAGUCCUAGAAAGUCCAGAAAGUAGCAGGGAGACUGAGUAGGUGUUUGGGGCAUGGUCAAGAGGCCCAUAUUGAUGCAUGUCACUAGCCCCUUCCCUCUUCUAGCUGCCCCAGUCCUUCCUUCCCUGCUCCUCUUCCAGUCUCUUUGACUUUUCCCACCACCCCGUCCUGCGACACUGCUUUAUUAUCAGGUAAGUCAGAAGAAGGGGAAAAUUUGGCUUUACCUUCUGACUUAGCGUCAUGCAAAUCCUGAUGCUCUUUUAGUAUUUCCUUUUUCUUUUUGGUGGGAGAUAUGGGAUGGAAGCAUAUUUGCCGGAGUUGGUGUUUGUUUGUUUGUUUGUUUUUUAUUUUUUGAGAUGAGGUCUUGCUGUGUUGCCAAGGCUUAAGUGCAGUGGCUACUCAUAGACCCCAUCAUUGCACACUACAGCCUUGACCUCCUAGGCUGAAAGAAUCCUCCCACCUCAGCCUCCUGAGUAGCCGGAACUAUAGGUGCAUGCCACCAUGCCUGGCCACCUGCUGGAGUUUAAGCAGAUGGUAGGAUGGGUGGCUGGUCCCUAAAGACACUCAUCUUUUAAUCUUUGAAACCUGUGGAUAUGCUACCUUCUAGGGAAAAAAAGGACUUGGCAGAUGUUAGUAAGCGUCUUAAAAUGGAAAAGUUGUCCUAGACUACCUGAAUGGGCCCAAUGUCAUCGUGAGGUCCUUAUAAGAGGGAGGCAGGAGGGUCAGAGAAAAAGACAAAGACAAUGAUGUGAUGAUGGGGGCAGAGGUGUGGGUGUGUGAGAGAGGAGCAGAGGGGUUGAAGAUGCACCUCUGCUGCUGGCUUUGCAGAUAGAGGAAGGGGUUUUAAGCCAAAGAACGCAGGCAGCCUCUAGAAGCCCAAAAAGGACAUACAUUCUCCCCUAUGCCCUCCACAAGGAAAAGCAGCCCUGCUGGCCCAUUUCUGACUUCUGACCUCCAGAACAGUGAGAUGAUCUGUGCUAUGUAAAGCCACUCCGCUUGCGGGUGUAACUGGUGACAGCAGCAAUAGGAAAGCAUACAGGCUGCAAGGAUGAAAAUCCUCGAGAACAACUGCUAUCACAUUUAAUUAUUAUUAUUAUUAUUUUUAUUUUUUUGAGAUGGAGUUUCACUUUUGUCGCUCAGGCUGGAGUGCAAUGGCAAGAUCUCAACUCACUGCAACCUCUGCCUCCUGGGUUCAAGUGAUUCUUCUGCCUCAGCCUCUCAAGUAGCUGGGAUUACAGGUGCCCACUACCACACCCAGCUGAUUUUUGUAUUUUUAGUACAGACGGCGUUUCACCACGUUGGCCAGGCUGGUCUUGGACUCCUGACCUCAGGUUAUCCACCCACCUCGGCCUCCCGAAGUGUUGGGAUUACAGGCCAGAGCCACCACAUCUGGCCUGGUAUCACAUUUAAACAGGCAGUGAUGUGUGACCAGAAAUUAUACAUAUUUCUAGAGCUUUCACCCUUCAAACAGUAGUUCCCAAAGGCUGGUCUCCCACCAGCGGUGUCAGCACCUGGGAACACGUGGGUCAAAUCCUCAGGCUCCACCCAGGACUAUUGGGUCAGAAACUCCGGAGGCGGGGCCAGCACCCUGUGUUUGAACAGGUCCUUCUGUAAUUCUGAGGCAUGCUAAGGUUCACCUUAAAGAUAAGUGACUUGGGGCUGAGUUCAGUGGCUCACACCUGUAGUCCCAGCACUUUGGGAGGCUGCUAUAAUAGCUAUGAUUAUUAUACCUGCCCGGAUAUUAUCUUCUGUUUCCAAGCUUCACAUAUAGGGAUCCUAUACAAGAGUUCACCUACACAAAAGAUUCAAUCCAUCUUAGGUUCUGCUAAUGACCUCCCCUCCUGAGGUUCAUCAAAGCUGAAGCGGGAAGAAGGCUUGAGGACAGGAGUCUGAGACCAGCCUGGGCAACAUAGUGAGACCUUGUCUGUUAAAUCAAGUUUAGCCUAAAGUGGCCUCCUUACAUAUUUUAAGUUCAACCUAAAGGUUUCUCUGUACAUAGUGAACUAUAUACAACCUAAAUGGAGGUAUAAAUCCACUGUAACCUACUCUUGUGCCAAUCAGAGAGUUUUGGCCAAAGGGGGCCAACUGUUCAAACCGUGUUCAAAUAAGGCGAAUGCCAAGCUGUAGCCAAUCCAACUGUUUCUGUACCUCACUUCUGUUUUCUAUACGUUACUUUCUUUUUUCUGUCUAUAAAUCUUCCACUGCUUGGCUGCACUGGAGUCUCUCUGAGCUACUCUGGCUUGGGAGGCUACCUGAUUCGCAAAGCAUUCUUUGCUUAAUUAAACUUUGUUAAGCUUAAUUUGGCUAAGGUUUUUCUUUCAACAUGUCCUUGCAAAAACUUAAAAUAAAAAAAAUUAGCUGGGCAUGGUGGCAUGCCUGUAAUCCCAGCUAGCAGGGAGGCUGAGGUGUAAGGAUUGCUUGAGCUCAGGAGGUUGAGGCUGCAGUGAGCCAUGAUUACACCACUGCACUCCAGUCUGGGUGACAGAGUGAGACCCUAUCUCUACAAAAUAAAUACAUAAGUUAAAAGUGACCUGGGCUGCUGCUUUGCCAACAGAGGGUACCUGUGGAGCCUCUGAUGUGUAUGGGUAGUGUAUGUGUAUGUUGGCUGUGUGUGUACCCACUGACUCUACAAUUAAGCUGAUUCUUUUUUUUUGAGACGGAGUCUCGCUCUGUUGCCCAGGCUGGAGUGCAGUGACGUGAUCUUGGCUCACUGCCAGCUCCGCCUCCCGGGUUCAUGCCAUUCUCCUGCCUCAGCCUACCAAGUAGCUGGGACUACAGGCGCCCACCAACACGCCUGGCUAAUUUUUUGUAUUUUUUAGUAGAGACGGGGUUUCACUGUGUUAGCCAGGAUGGUCUCGAUCUCCUGACCUCGUAAUCUGCCCGCCUUAGCCUCCCAAAGUGCUGGGAUUACAGGCAUGAGCCACUGCACUCGUCCUAAGCUGAUUAUUUCAUGAUUCAUGCUUGACUUGGGAUCUGGGAAUGAUGGGGAAAGUUAUUCUCUCAAUGAUUGGCUCUGCCCCCUGGGGAAUGUGGGAGGAGGGAGAGUCCAGAAUUCGGCUUCCAAGUGGCCACAAGUCUGGCCUCCUUCACCCAGCCUAUGCCUGUGUCCACAGGACGAGAUCCAGGCUGACAGCCAUGCACUGCCACACCACUGUCCCAGACUGGGGCAAGCAGAAGGGGGCUGUUUCCUCUCAUCUUUCCCCAAUUUCUUGCUUGCCAGAGGCAAUCCUAACUUGGCUAGUGGAAAGAUAAUCACUUUUGAAAACAUGAGUGAGGUCAGCCCUUCCAGCCACAGCCUGGAGCUUGAAAUUACACAUUCAUUGAUUUCUUUUUUUUCUUUUUCUUUUCUUUCUUUCUUUUUUUUUUUUUUUUUGAGACAGAGUCUCGCUCUGUCGCCCAGGCUGGAGUGCAGUGGCGCAAUCUUGGCUCAUUGCAACCUCUGCCUCCCAGGUUCAAGUGAUUCUUGUGCCUCAGC